rnacentral:rRNA from 1 species
UACGUAGGGGGCGAGCGUUGUCCGGAUUUACUGGGCGUAAAGGGCGCGUAGGCGGAUUUUUAAGUGAGAUGUGAAAUACCCGGGCUCAACUUGGGUGCUGCAUUUCAAACUGGAAGUCUAGAGUGCAGGAGAGGAGAGUGGAAUUCCUAGUGUAGCGGUGAAAUGCGUAGAGAUUAGGAAGAGCACCAGUGGCGAAGGCGAUUCUCUGGACUGUAACUGACGCUGAGGCUCGAAAGCGUGGGGAGCAAACAGG